UGGUCACAGUUAUCCUUUAUAGCAACACAAAACAGGGUAAUACAGUGUUCCUGAGGAGCGCCCUUCAGGCCCUCAGCAGGUUGUAGCCACCCAUCCUGGGGCAGCAAGUAGGCCAGACUGGGGCCAGACUGAGGCUGGUUCAGUGGGCCCUCCUAAGGUCGGCUCCCCCAUCUGUCUCCCAUCCUGAGCCUCGCAGUCCUCACACAAGUGUGGAUCAUUAUUCUGAAAGAUACAAUCCCAAGCACUGGUCCCCAACAUUGAAAUAGUGAAAGACACAAAUCUCUAAAGUUUCAAAUCCCUGACAUCUAAAGUUUUGAAAAUCACAAUCCCGGGAUAGCGGCAUCAUGUUGGGUGGAGCUACGACCUUGCUUAGGGCUUUAUUUGGAGACUGAGAAUGGUUGAAGGGGAUGCAGAUGGAUGCCAGGUUGACAAGGGGUGGACCUGCGGACUUCUUUUGGGUGUGGACUUGACUGGGUUAAGGAUACCUAGAGGUCGUUAUUUUGGGCAUGGCUGUGAGGUGUUUUCAGAGAUGAGUAUGUGAGUCUGAGGGGCCUAGGUGGGGAAGAUCCACCCUCAAUGUUGGUGGGCAGCAUUCGAUCUGCUGAGGCCCAGAGGGAACAAAUACAGAAGGCGAACUGGUCUCUCUCAGAGCCGGGACAGCCUUUUCUUCCACUGCCUUGACAUCAGAGCUCCAGGCUCGCUGGCCUUUGGACUCUGGGACUUACACCCGUGGCCCUCCUGGGUCCUGAAGCUUUCGUCCUGAGCCACCCUGCCGGCAUCCCAGGUUGACUGUGUGUGUAAGCGUUGUGCCUGUGUGUAAAAACAUCAAAACUUCCUCCAUACAUGAAGGGAUGUAAUUUUUGUACAUCUGUGUUUGUGAGAGAUGAAAGUUCUUGCCAUCUCCGCUCUUUGGGCAACUGCGUGUGUGGUGGUGACGCAUCGUAGACUGACUUCAUCAAAAGACGGGUUGCUGGUCAUGACGUGACUGCAGAUAUCAAGCCGGGUGCACGCAAUUACCAAGCAUAGUGACGUGCAUGUAUACAUUUCCCAUUUUGACUUGUUUAUGAAUAUAGUUUGUCUGCUAAUAACUCACACCUGUGUAACUGUCAUUAGUAUUUACCUGAGUGUUUAUGCUUGCAAAAAUAUGUAUUAUUGCCUAUUUUAUUGUGUAAAGUGGCUAAUGAUGUGUUCUGUUGUUUUUCUGUUUCUCAAAUCCUUUUAAAAUGUAAAUAUCUUUUAAAAAAUUAAAAAAAAAAUUCCCAGAAUUAUAUUUCCAGGAUUUAGAUAUUUUGGGAUUGUGAUUUUUGGAUUUUAGAGUAAUUUUAAUAUUUUGGAUUCUCAACGCUUGGGACUAUGGCAUUUGGGACUGUGUCUUUCGGGAUUCCCACACAAUCCCCAGGCAGACUCAUUGGCUCUCUGCUUCCCAUGUACAAGGUGCAGCUCUUUUUUCCCAUCGGUUUCAAGCCCCGCCCCUCCCCAGCCCCCUGUAUGAGGAGCGGCAAGGCAGCCGCAGCUUCACGCUCUCUUUGGUGGUGGGGCGGCGGGCUGCCUGGGCUGGUGGGUUCAGGCAAGGAUGCCUCCCCAUGAACAUGCUACCCUCCGCAUGCCUGAGUCCUGCCACCCCCUCCCCCCAACACAGUCCCCACAUCAGGGACAAAAGAUAGAGACUUGAGUCCUAGGCUCUCCUGAAAGCGGUCACGAAGACACAUGCAGCUCCUGGUGCCUGUGAGCCUGUCCUACAGAUGGGGCUCCGCCACGGCUGGCCUGGAGGCCCCCACUUCUGGCGGGCCACAGAGGAGGCCCUCACGGGCCAGGAGGCUGCAGCGGCAUUCUGGGGCACUUGCAGAGACCCCCCCUUCCCGCUGGCAGUUCAAAGUGAGGCCCAGGCUUUCUGGAUGGUGGAAGCCCUGGCUGAGCAGGUCGGGGCCUGGUGCUGGGGCCAAGUUCUCCUCGGCCCCCACUCGGAAGCUGCACAUGGACAGUGGCGUCCCCAGGGCCGGCCCUG
rnacentral:lncRNA from 1 species